CAACUACUAAGAACCAUGGAGGUAAGAAUCAGGCUGCUAAAGAAGGAUCUGAGAGUCUUCUGGUGAUGGAAGAUUGUGGGCAGGCCCUCAGUUCACUUUAGAUUAGUUCUACUAUCACCUGUCAUAUGCUUCACAUUAGGCAGGGCACUGGGGCUCAGGGAUAAGGGAGUAACAGUUAACACCCAAGCGGUGACUUAACAAUGAGCCAAACCAUGAACUGCAGGCCUCUUGAAAGGGCCUCCUACAGAAAAACCACCCAGCCAAUUCUCUGAUGGGACUUCCUGGAAGCGUGGGCUGCUAGGGAUCCUGACAGCUGGGACCAUAACCACCAGAACCCAAACAUCUUCAGACCUAAUGAAGGUUGAAAAAUAUGGGUGAGGAAGACUGAAGUUUUUCUACAGGAACCUGGAAGCUCACUUCAGCUGGCAUUAUGAUUGCCUAUGACAAGAUGACCGAUUGAGACACUCUCUCCUUCUGCCAUAGCACUCUGAAGUGUCCUAAAUGAGUUCCUUGAUAAGCUGGGAAAAGGGAGGCGACUACAUGGAGAGCACCUACCCUGCAGGGGGUAGUGUAAGGUGCUAAGGUGUUUAAGACAGAAACUUGGUCACCAGGCAACUUAAAAUCCAGAUCAGUCCGAGGUCCUUUCGUCCAGACACGGGUCUUCAGAGGUAACUAUGAAUCGUUAUUUCCAUUUAAUAGCUAAGCAAAUAAAUUGCAGUGGCUCGGUGAGCUGAAGUCAAAUAGCUCUAA